GGUGGUGAUGAGAUAUCCAUGUUUUGAGGUGUAGUUGGUACUAAGUUCCUGUUUACAGGAAGAACCUACUUGAGAUCACUGCAUUGUUCAUGAAAUUAUUGGAUUAUCUGAGCC